UGGGGAAUAUUGCACAAUGGGCGCAAGCCUGAUGCAGCCAUGCCGCGUGUGUGAAGAAGGCCUUCGGGUUGUAAAGCACUUUCAGCGAGGAGGAAGGUGGUGAACUUAAUACGUUCAUCAAUUGACGUUACUCGCAGAAGAAGCACCGGCUAACUCCGUGCCAGCAGCCGCGGUAAUACGGAGGGUGCAAGCGUUAAUCGGAAUUACUGGGCGUAAAGCGCACGCAGGCGGUUUGUUAAGUCAGAUGUGAAAUCCCCGGGCUCAACCUGGGAACUGCAUUUGAAACUGGCAAGCUAGAUCUCGUAGAGGGGGUAGAAUUCCAGGUGUAGCGGUGAAAUGCGUAGAGAUCUGGAGGAAUACCGGUGGCGAAGG
rnacentral:rRNA from 1 species